UCAAUCAAAUUAUACUCCAGUUCAGUUGGCUUUGAAUUUUUCUCAUACUGAAAAAUACCCAGAUGAACCUCCACUUUUGAAUGUCAAGAGCAUACGUGGAAUAAAAACUGAUGAUCUUAAUAUUUUACAAGAAAAGCUUGGAAGAGAGGUAGAAUAAAAAACUU